AAGAUCAGUUGUGAGGUCUGGUAGAUCAGAUAUGCCAAGAUCACCUUGCAGACCAGAUGAAAGGUCAAGGUCAAUUCGCAGAUGGGAUGAGAGGACCCCUACAAGGUCAAGUUGCGGGAGAAGACCCGUGCCGUUCUCUCAUUGCAAGAAUGCCACCAGAAGACCUCGGACUGAUAAUUUUCAGAGGAGUGUCCUCAUGCAGCUUGACAGCAUUCUUGAGAAGCAUCAGGAAGGCUUUGUCCUAUUGCAGAGGGUGGUUUCUUCCCUUGGCAGCAGUGUGGAGGACAUUGACAUGUGCUUCCUCGACCCAUGCAGACCAUAGAAGAAAUGGAAAAUAUGUGCACCCAUCUGGAUAAAGAUGCUGACUUUUAUGAAAAAAAUGAUCCUGUACCUGAGUUCCAUUGGAGGGACUGACCUGGGAGACACAGUCCGGAAAAUUAUACGCAAGCUAUUUACAAACAAGCUUAUGUCGCACUACAACAUGAAGGGCAGAAAUGGAAAGCUGAGGUUCGAAGACCUCUACAUUUACAAAGUGAAGUAAGCAUUUUGUAAUUUCUUUAUUUAAAGGUAACCAAUGAUUCUAAAUUUGAUGCUAAACACCUCUGGGUUACGUAAACUGAGGCAGAAGCGAUUUUAAGGGGAAUUCCAUUUAUUCUCCCCUUUAAACGCAUCUUAACAGGAAAGAUAAUUAAACCAAUGCAGGUGGAAAUGUGUUCAUCGCAAGACUACAUCUCCUGCUUUCCCAAUCUACACAUUGUUUUAGUAGCAAUGAUGGUUGAGGGGGGAAAAAAGUGUAUUCUGACAAUCAGAAACUUAACUCAUCAUAAGGAAGGCUGGCACCAUUUCCCCUAGACAUGAUUGAUGCUAACCGGGCUGAUUUGUGGCUGUAGGAACUGAAUCUCCAUAUUUAAAUAUAUUGAGACACAAAUUGUUUAUUCCACAGAAUAAAAUAAUACAUGUAAACAAAUAGCAAAUUAAUGAACCUGUAACAAUGUGCCGUGGAGUUGCUGUCUGACUGUUGGAAGACGCUUUUCUUCUCACCCAUCAUAUUAUUAAAAUAAUGUUAGAUUGAAAAACAAGGGGACAGUGGAAUGUAAUCUUGCGAUUAACGCAUUUCCACAGCUUCUGUGUUGUUUUAAUUGUUAUCUCUCGUGUUAAGAGGUGUUUACAGGGGAGAAUAAAUGGAAAUCCCUUUUAAAUUCGCUUCUGCCUUCCCUUACGAGCUGCCUCUGCUGGGUGGUGUAAACCAAGUUGUAGGGAAACUGAUUACACAAGUGGUGACCUUGGCAUAAUGGCUGCAAGCUGUUGUAACCUUUGUAAGGAGACUGAUAAUGUCUUAAUUGUGGUAAUUUAAGGAUUUUUUUAUUUUGCUUCAUAGUAAAUUAUAGCAAAGCCAGGAAAAUGGUUGCAAAGUCUCACAGACGUGAAGCACAGCAAUAGAGUGCAUAUUAUUUUAUUGUUUUGUGUAAUGUUUAGUGACAGGACACUUCAUAAGCCAAAAUAAUACUAAUUUACAUACAUGUAUUAUUAUUAUUAUAUUUUUUUUUUUUGUAGAAGCAACCAAACGGAACCACAAGGUGACCAGAACAGCGGUGGAGCUGAAAGUAGCUGAAACUAAUGUGUAUCUGUAUAUUACUAAACAACUUAAGUGACUACAGCUAAACUUGAAUUAAGCACAUACUGUUUUUCCUUUUAAGAAAGGCUGAACAAGUCCAAGGAAAGGGCAGAAGAUGAGGUGGCCAGCGGACU